rnacentral:rRNA from 1 species
GACGUAGGGCGCGAGCGUUGUCCGGAUUUAUUGGGCGUAAAGAGCUCGUAGGCGGCUCGUUGCGUCAACCGUGAAAACCCGCGGCUCAACCGUGUGGCUUGCAGUCGAUACGGGCAGGCUAGAGUUCGGUAGGGGAGACUGGAAUUCCUGGUGUAGCGGUGAAAUGCGCAGAUAUCAGGAGGAACACCGGUGGCGAAGGCGGGUCUCUGGGCCGAUACUGACGCUGAGGAGCGAAAGCGUGGGGAGCGAACAGG